GAGAUGGAGAUCUGUUCUUUCAAUCCUGUUCCUUGCGUCCUUCCAUCCUGCAUGGAGACCCCAGACUGAGCAGGUAUUUAAAUCAGCUCUUCAGAUUUGAACUGACACAUCAGCCAAAUUGUGGUGUUCCUGGAGUUCCUGUUCCUGUGGUGUCCAUAUCCGUUUUAGUACAGACUAUGUCUCUAGAAUAGUGACAAGUCACACAGCAGUCUGUCAUCAGUAUCUGCAGGACAUCUUCUGUCAUGAGCUCUACAAUUCUGUAGCAUGUCUGUGCCACAGGAUAAGAGAAUUUUCUAUUCUUCCAACACUUACCAUUGGUUUCUACAAGGAAAGAAAGAUACUGUUGUCCACGCCAGCGUGGAGGAGGAGGGGCUCACCCCUAUCUGAGGAGUUAUCGACAGUUGUUAGCUGCUGGAAGAGGAAGAG